AGUGAACGCUGGCGGUAGGCCUAACACAUGCAAGUCGAACGGUAGCACAGUAAGAGCUUGCUCUUACGGGUGGCGAGUGGCGGACGGGUGAGGAAUACAUCGGAAUCUACUUUUUCGUGGGGGAUAACGUAGGGAAACUUACGCUAAUACCGCAUACGACCUACGGGUGAAAGCAGGGGAUCUUCGGACCUUGCGCGAUUGAAUGAGCCGAUGUCGGAUUAGCUAGUUGGCGGGGUAAAGGCCCACCAAGGCGACGAUCCGUAGCUGGUCUGAGAGGAUGAUCAGCCACACUGGAACUGGGACACGGUCCAGACUCCUACGGGAGGCAGCAGUGGGGAAUAUUGGACAAUGGGCGCAAGCCUGAUCCAGCCAUACCGCGUGGGUGAAGAAGGCCUUCGGGUUGUAAAGCCCUUUUGUUGGGAAAGAAAAGCAGCAGGUUAAUACCCCGCUGUUCUGACGGUACCCAAAGAAUAAGCACCGGCUAACUUCGUG
rnacentral:rRNA from 1 species